GAGACAGACAAACCCUUUCUCUUGGAAGGAACCCAAGGCCGGGAUGCCAUGAAAGCUGGCUCGGUAACCUGGGGCCAUUGAUGCUCUCUCUCAGCCCAACCUACCUCAUAGGAUUGUUGUGGGGAAAAAUAGCAGGAAGCAGUUUUAGGUGCUCUGUGUAAAAAUGAUUUCAAGCUUGGGAAAUACUAUAUUAAGAACUGUACUGCAUAUGUUCAUGAGGUAAGCAUAGUUUUUUGUUUUAUCUAUUUUAGGGGAUGGUUCACUAACUCUUAAAUUUAUUA